GCCAACGGUAGCUCAGUUGGUAAGAGCGUCGCACUCUUAAUGCGAAGACGUGGGUUCGUGCUCCACCUGCGUGCA